UCCCCGUUACCGGGGCAGUCUGAAUAGAAAAAUCCAACUAUUCAUAAGGGUUGCGCUCGUUGAUGGACUUAACCAAACAUCUCACGACACGAGCUGAAGACGGCCAUGCAUCAUCUGUCACCGAGUUCAAUAAAGCACUCUCUGCUUUCACAGAAAUUCUCGGGAUGUCAAACCCUGGUAAGGUUCUUCGUUUAUCAUCGAAUUAAAGAACACGCUCCACCGCUUGUGCGGGUCCCCGUCAAUUCCUUUGAGUUUUAGCCUUGCGGCCGUACUCCCCAGGCGGGGUGCUUAAUGCGUUAGCUGCGGCACGGAAGGAGUCGACACCUCCCACACCUAGCACCCAUCGUUUACGGCGUGGACUAC
rnacentral:misc_RNA from 1 species